UACGUAGGUGACAAGCGUUGUCCGGAUUUACUGGGCGUAAAGAGCGCGCAGGCGGUCGUUCAAGUCGAGUGUGAAAGCCCCCGGCUCAACUGGGGAGGGUCACUCGAUACUGAUCGACUCGAAGGCAGGAGAGGGUAGUGGAAUUCCCGGUGUAGUGGUGAAAUGCGUAGAUAUCGGGAGGAACACCUGUGGCGAAAGCGGCGCACUGGACCACAACUGACGCUGAUGCGCGAAAGCUAGGGGAGCAAACAGG
rnacentral:rRNA from 1 species